UCAAAGUGAUAUCUUUCCUCAUUGGCGCCACUUUCUCCCGCGGUUUCUACCUCAGAACCUCAAAAAUUUCGAACGAUAAACCCCAAUCAACUAUACAAAAUCCCUCUUUCAUACAGAGGGAACUGAAGAGCCAAAGAGAGUCAUCGGAGAAGCCAAGUGGUCGCCGCAGAGAGUCAUCGGAGAAGCCAAGUGGUCGCCGCCGUUGGCCAUUCUUGGCUGUUAAUUCUUUGACGGAGAGAUGUUUUAUUCGCACACAUUCUUGGCUCGAAAGGGUCCAUUAGGGACAGUAUGGUGCGCUGCACAUUUACAACACAAGUUGAAGAAACCCCAUUAUACUUCUACUAACAUUCCCUCCACUGUUGAGCGCAUCAUGACUCCUGAAGUACCUAUUGCGUUGCGAACGUCUGGCCACCUUCUACUUGGAGUUGUUCGGAUAUACUCAAAGCAAGUUGAAUACUUUUCCGAGGACUGCAAAACAUUACUAAUGGGAGUUAUAAAGGUCUUCUCAUCCACAAAUGUCAAUCUGCCAGAAGAUGCCACUCAUGCACCAUACCACUCUAUCACUCUACCAGAAACAUUUGAACUUGAUGCCUUAGUUUUUGAUGAAGAUCUUGACCUGAAUAGGGUUAAGGAUACUCAUGUUAAAAGUUAUGAAGAGAUAACUUUGGAAGAUCAAAUUGUAUCGCAUGAAGAUCAGUAUGUUGCUAUUUUCAUUGAUGAGGACACAAUGAAGAAUUUGUCAAAAUCAGGUGAAGUUUCUGGAUUAGGUGCCAUGCCCAUGGAGACAGACGAAACUGCUGCUCAACCCCAACAUUCUCCCCCUAAGAAUCAGGAAGGACUAAACCAAGGAACUGUUCGUGAUGACAUUCCUCAAGAUAUUCCAGAAAUUGAACUCAUGCGUGAUGCUGUCCCAGAUCAUAGUUUUGAGAAUGUUCCGUUGUGGUCAGGCCGAGGGAAUGAUGUGAUGGAACCAGAUAGAAUUCUGGAGGAACAGAUCAUGAGAGACAAGGAAACUGCAGGCCCAGUUGUGGAAGAGAUAUUGGCCCCCGGAGGACAUUCAAUCCCAUCUCAACAACGACAAGAACCACCGUCAGCUACUUCAGUGGAGGCUCACGAAUUUGCUGAUCCACAGAUGUCAUUUGGGCAUCAGUCACCUGAUUUAGCUCUUCUUUCAACACCACCUCCCGAGGCACUAAAAAUAAGAAGAAAGCGAAAGCUACUCAUCUAUGAUAAGGACAUAGUAGUGCCAAAUCAUGAGAUGAAAAAGAGACUACAGGGCAUCGGUAUAAAAUUGCGGGAAAAGAAGAAGGUUCCUUGUUCUUCUUUGGACAUCUGGAAACAAAACAAGAGACUAAGAAAAGAUGGAAUUUUCUUUGAGCCUUUAAUAACCGGAUUAUGCGAUGAUCUCCGCAAUAUCUACAAGGAAGACUUCAUUUCAGCAAAAGUCAAGAUGGCUUCCUCACAGGAGAAUCAUGCAGAACCCAGCGAUAACCAAUACCCUCCAUCUGGGAAUGAUCUUCCGAUGGAAAUUGAAAGACUACGUGAUAAUCAAAACCUUGCAAGCACCGAUUUGUUGUCUGAGAUUUUGCCUUCACCAAAUAGGCUUAUUUCCUCUCCACAGAUGUCCAUGCCUUCCCCAAGCAGAAGAGAUGACUUCAGUCCUGCUACUACAACUUUUGGGACAGAAUCAGGUCAGAUAGGAAGAACCAUAGAUAGUGGGGUGCGGCCCACGCCUGACCCAGCAGCAUCUACUGGGCAUGCUGGUUCUGAUAUGGAGACCCCUUCAACAUGGUUUGGAGAAGGACUAAAUGUGGAGGAUACCGUUCUAUCUGAUAUUCCUGAGUUUGAUAAUUCUGCCGGGGAUCUAAGUUUUCUAGAACAAGAUGACGACACUCCUAUUGGACUUCUGGGAACUCCUUCGUCAAGUAAGCAAGGGGGAACGCCAGAGUUUGGCACAUUAUCUGCUAGAACAAGAGCCGUGGCUCAAUAUUUGAAAGGGCAGUCACCAGCAACCCCCAUCUCAGAAGAGACUGGAGAUAUCAGCUUAAAUGCAAUUUUAGAAGGCAAAAAUAGAAGAGUAUGUGCCCGAAUGUUUUAUGAGACUCUGGUGUUGGAGAACUGUGGACUUGUACGUGCGAAUCAACAUGAACCUUAUGGUGAAAUAACUCUGAAAGUGACUUCCAAACUGAAGGAGAAAUUUUCAAGCUGAAGCCAUUGUGUAGAACUACAUAUAGAGAUGGGUUAAAGACAUUCUUUUUGGAGGACAAAUGGAAUGGGGCAGUCCCCAUGAAACAAUUGCAUCCUGAAUUGUUUACUCUGUGUCAACAACAACAGGCCAUUGUGGCUACAAUGUGGACUGGACAAGGAUGGAAUUUGUUCCUAGGAAGGAACCUUCAUGACUGGGAGAUAGACAAAGUGGCAGAUUUCCAAAAUUCAGUAGCCUUCUUCAGCAACCUCACUGAGAAGGACUAGCUGAUUUGGCAGAAUGACAAUAAGGUCAAUUCUCAGUAAAUUUAAUAUACAGGGACCUCAACAAGACUGCAGGACAGGAGAAAGAUUGUCCAUGGAAGAUGAUCUGGAAACCAAAGGUACCCUACAAAGAAAACUACGUCAAGAGGUUGUUGACAAAAGAAGCAGUUUUGACUCAUAAAAACCUAAACAAAAGAGGCUAUCAGUUGGCCUCUAGAAGUACUUUAUAUGGAGAGCAAGCAGAGACAAUCAACCAUCUAUUUUUGCAUUGUACAUGGACAAACAACUAUGAAGAAUGUUCAUCUGUCUAAAGGGGAUAAGAUGGGUGAAACCAGGGAGAAUUAAAGGAGUUCUAAGCAGCUGGAAGAGAGAUGGCAAUGUUUCAGAUAAAGAGAGGAGAUUGAAACUUGUCCCAGCAUGCAUUUGGUGGACAAUUUGGAAAGAGAGAAACAACAGGAGUUUUGAGAAUGUGCAGAACAACUUACAGAAGAUCAAAAUGAAUUGCUUAGCUCUUUUUUUAUUUUCAGCACAAACAAGAUAUAUUAACUAGAACAUAAGACAUCUUUGAUGUGCCAGAUUGUUUAUAGGCAGCAGUUUUGAUUUAGACAGUUUUCUUCUGACUUCAGGGAACUCCUUCGUCAAGUAAGCAAGGGGGAACGCCAGAGUUUGACACAUUAUCUGCUAGAACAAG